GCGGUGGAGCAUGUGGUUUAAUUCGAAGCAACGCGCAGAACCUUACCAGCCCUUGACAUACCGGUCGCGGACACAGAGAUGUGUCUUUCAGUUCGGCUGGACCGGAUACAGGUGCUGCAUGGCUGUCGUCAGCUCGUGUCGUGAGAUGUUGGGUUAAGUCCCGCAACGAGCGCAACCCUCGCCCUUAGUUGCCAGCAUUUAGUUGGGCACUCUAAGGGGACUGCCGGUGAUAAGCCGAGAGGAAGGUGGGGAUGACGUCAAGUCCUCAUGGCCCUUACGGGCUGGGCUACACACGUGCUACAAUGGUGGUGACAGUGGGCAGCGAGCACGCGAGUGUGAGCUAAUCUCCAAAAGCCAUCUCAGUUCGGAUUGCACUCUGCAACUCGAGUGCAUGAAGUUGGAAUCGCUAGUAAUCGCGGAUCAACAUGCCGCGGUGAAUACGUUCCCGGGCCUU
rnacentral:rRNA from 1 species